rnacentral:rRNA from 1 species
UCUGAACCASCCAUGCCGCGUGCAGGAUGAAUGCCCUCUGGGUUGUAAACUGCUUUUAUAUGCCAAGAAACCUCCUCACGUGUGGGGAGCUGACGGUAGCAUACGAAUAAGGAUCGGCUAACUCCGUGCCAGCAGCCGCGGUAAUACGGAGGAUCCAAGCGUUGUCCGGAUUUAUUGGGUUUAAAGGGUACGUAGGUGGGCUAUUAAGUCAGUGGUGAAAGCCUACAGCUUAACUGUAGAAUUGCCAUUGAAACUGGUAGCCUUGAGUAUGGUUGAGGUGGUUGGAAUACAUCAUGUAGCGGUGAAAUGCAUAGAUAUGAUGUAGAACACCGAUUGCGAAGGCAGAUCACUAAACCAUUACUGACACUGAGGUACGAAAGCAUGGGGAGCGAACAGGAUUAGAUACCCUGGUAGUCCAUGCUGUAAACGAUGUUUACUCGCUGUUGGCGAUACACUGUCAGCGGCUAAGCGAAAGCAUUAAGUAAACCACCUGGGGAGUACGAUCGCAAGGUUG